rnacentral:rRNA from 1 species
GUUAGCUACAGGCUUAACACAUGCAAGUCGAGGGGCAGCAUGGUCUUAGCUUGCUAAGGCCGAUGGCGACCGGCGCACGGGUGAGUAACACGUAUCCAACCUGCCGUCUACUCUUGGACAGCCUUCUGAAAGGAAGAUUAAUACAAGAUGGCAUCAUGAGUCCGCAUGUUCACAUGAUUAAAGGUAUUCCGGUAGACGAUGGGGAUGCGUUCCAUUAGAUAGUAGGCGGGGUAACGGCCCACCUAGUCUUCGAUGGAUAGGGGUUCUGAGAGGAAGGUCCCCCACAUUGGAACUGAGACACGGUCCAAACUCCUACGGGAGGCAGCAGUGAGGAAUAUUGGUCAAUGGGCGAGAGCCUGAACCAGCCAAGUAGCGUGAAGGAUGACUGCCCUAUGGGUUGUAAACUUCUUUUAUAAAGGAAUAAAGUCGGGUAUGGAUACCCGUUUGCAUGUACUUUAUGAAUAAGGAUCGGCUAACUCCGUGCCAGCAGCCGCGGUAAUACGGAGGAUCCGAGCGUUAUCCGGAUUUAUUGGGUUUAAAGGGAGCGUAGAUGGAUGUUUAAGUCAGUUGUGAAAGUUUGCGGCUCAACCGUAAAAUUGCAGUUGAUACUGGAUAUCUUGAGUGCAGUUGAGGCAGGCGGAAUUCGUGGUGUAGCGGUGAAAUGCUUAGAUAUCACGAAGAACUCCGAUUGCGAAGGCAGCCUGCUAAGCUGCAACUGACAUUGAGGCUCGAAAGUGUGGGUAUCAAACAGGAUUAGAUACCCUGGUAGUCCACACGGUAAACGAUGAAUACUCGCUGUUUGCGAUAUACUGCAAGCGGCCAAGCGAAAGCGUUAAGUAUUCCACCUGGGGAGUACGCCGGCAACGGUGAAACUCAAAGGAAUUGACGGGGGCCCGCACAAGCGGAGGAACAUGUGGUUUAAUUCGAUGAUACGCGAGGAACCUUACCCGGGCUUAAAUUGCAGAUGAAUUACGGUGAAAGCCGUAAGCCGCAAGGCAUCUGUGAAGGUGCUGCAUGGUUGUCGUCAGCUCGUGCCGUGAGGUGUCGGCUUAAGUGCCAUAACGAGCGCAACCCUUGUUGUCAGUUACUAACAGGUUCCGCUGAGGACUCUGACAAGACUGCCAUCGUAAGAUGUGAGGAAGGUGGGGAUGACGUCAAAUCAGCACGGCCCUUACGUCCGGGGCUACACACGUGUUACAAUGGGGGGUACAGAGGGCCGCUACCACGCGAGUGGAUGCCAAUCCCCAAAACCUCUCUCAGUUCGGACUGGAGUCUGCAACCCGACUCCACGAAGCUGGAUUCGCUAGUAAUCGCGCAUCAGCCACGGCGCGGUGAAUACGUUCCCGGGCCUUGUACACACCGCCCGUCAAGCCAUGGGAGCCGGGGGUACCUGAAGUGCGUAACCGCGAGGAGCGCCCUAGGGUAAAACUGGUGACUGGGGCUA